GAUGAAUCAUGAUGUCAUUAAUUUGAUGUUGUGGGGAGUCAGGACUGUUACUUUGAAAAAAUUAGAGUGUUUAAAGCAAGCACGCGCUUGAAUACAUUAGCAUGGAAUAAUGAAAUAGGACGUUCGAUUCUAUUUUGUUGGUUUCUAGGAUCAACGUAAUGAUUAAUAGGGAUAGUUGGGGGCAUUAGUAUUCAAUUGUCAGAGGUGAAAUUCUUGGAUUCAUUGAAGGCUAACUACUGCGAAAGCAUUUGCCAAGGAUGUUUUCAUUAAUCAAGAACGAAAGUUAGGGGAUCGAAGACGAUCAGAUACCGUCGUAGUCUUAACCAUAAACUAUGCCGACUAGGGAUCGGAUGAUGUUAAUUUUUUAAUGACUCAUUCGGCGCCUUACG
rnacentral:rRNA from 1 species